UACGGGGGGGGGCAAGCGUUGUUCGGAAUUACUGGGCGUAAAGGGCUCGUAGGCGGCCAACUAAGUCAGACGUGAAAUCCCUCGGCUUAACCGGGGAACUGCGUCUGAUACUGGAUGGCUUGAGUUUGGGAGAGGGAUGCGGAAUUCCAGGUGUAGCGGUGAAAUGCGUAGAUAUCGAGAGGAACACCAGUGGCGAAGGCGAGUCCCUGGACAAAACCUGACACUGAGGCACGAAAGCUAGGGGAGCAAACAGG
rnacentral:rRNA from 1 species